GAUGAACGCUGACAGAAUGCUUAACACAUGCAAGUCAACUUGAACUUCGGUUUGGGUGGCGGACGGGUGAGUAACGCGUAAAGAACUUGCCUCACAGAUAGGGACAACAUUUGGAAACGAAUGCUAAUACCUGAUAUUAUGAUUUUAGGGCAUCCUAGGAUUAUGAAAGCUAUAUGCACUGUGAGAGAGCUUUGCGUCCCAUUAGCUAGUUGGAGAGGUAACGGCUCACCAAGGCGAUGAUGGGUAGCCGGCCUGAGAGGGUGAUCGGCCACAAGGGGACUGAGACACGGCCCUUACUCCUACGGGAGGCAGCAGUGGGGAGUAUUGGACAAUGGACCAAGAGUCUGAUCCAGCAAUUCUGUGUGCACGAUGAAGUUUUUCGGAAUGUAAAGUGCUUUCAGUUGGGAAGAAAGAAAUGACGGUACCAACAGAAGAAGUGACGGCUAAAUACGUGCCAGCAGCCGCGGUAAUACGUAUGUCACGAGCGUUAUCCGGAUUUAUUGGGCGUAAAGCGCGUCUAGGUGGUUAUGUAAGUCUGAUGUGAAAAUGCAGGGCUCAACUCUGUAUUGCGUUGGAAACUGUGUAACUAGAGUACUGGAGAGGUAAGCGGAACUACAAGUGUAGAGGUGAAAUUCGUAGAUAUUUGUAGGAAUGCCGAUGGGGAAGCCAGCUUACUGGACAGAUACUGACGCUGAAGCGCGAAAGCGUGGGUAGCAAACAGG
rnacentral:rRNA from 1 species